rnacentral:rRNA from 1 species
AUGAUCCUCCCCAACUUUACUCCAAAAGACGUGAGCCAUUUGGAAGUUAAUGGCCUCAAAAUCCCUAAGACACUUCAAUCUUUUGAUGUGAAAUGUGACAUCACCAUUCCAAACUCGCCACCAACUUCCAUGAGCUCAGUUACUUGUGCGCCCAUAUGUUAUUUUGUACUUCUAGAAAAACUUUCUUCACUGGAAGGCUUCGAUCGUAAACAUACCCAGCCUUUCUAUGUUGUAUUUCUAUCAAUGCCCCAUCAGCUUGUGCACGACACCCCCUCAUCCCCACAUGUCACAUGUGUGUUUGCCGCUUGUGUUGUGCACCACAAUAGACAUGCUAGUCCACGAACGUUGUUCGGAAAACCCAUCUAUAUCAUGAAUAGUUUUUCUUGCGAGGUAUAUGGUGAACAAUUUUGA